rnacentral:lncRNA from 1 species
UAAUUUUUUUAACGUUUAGAAAGCCCUUUUCCUCUGUUGAAAAAGCUGAAAUUUUUAGCUUUUUCGAAAUGAAAAGUGCUUUUGGCUUGUUAAUUACUAAUUUCUUCUUCAUUUUUUCUUCUCUCUGGUUCUCUUUUCUUUCCUUCCAUUCUUCCAUUUUCUUCAAGGUCUUGAAGGUAGGCUGCUCUCAUUCUCUCACUCUCUCUCUUUCUACUCCUCCUAAUCCCAUCUUCUCAUUUUAACUCCCCAUUUAAUUUUUUGUUUUGUUUUUUUCCCCCAUUUCAGGUGAGCUUCCACGCUAUAACAAUUUGUUUUUGGUUUCCCAUUUCCUUCCACCGGUGAGCUUCUUCUCUUCUACACCCAUUUUUUCUUCUUUUCAUGUUUGAUCAUUAAUUUGGCUGUAAACCCAUCUUUAAUUAUGCUUAUUUACCUGCUUUUUUUUUUCCUUCACACAUUGACAGACCCUAGUUUAAGGAUCAAUCAAUGGUUUUUGCCUUUCUCCCUAAUUAUAUAAAUUUUCAACUAAGUACGAUAAUUACAUCCUUGCUAACUUGGUUGAUUUUGAAGAGAUGAUUACAUGAUUAACCUAUGUUGAGUUAAUGUAUAUAUUGGAUUUUUUGGCAAGCCAAGAUUCUAGGAGUUCAUCAAUAAUUAUAGAACCAAUUAUUGAUAAGCAAGUAAUUGAAGUAGCUAAUUAUACAAAAUGAUUGACUGCCAUAGAAAUACGUAGUUCAUUGCUAAAGAAUGUUCAUUUCAGUGAAUACUAAUAUUAAAACUAAGUUAUAUGGUGAUCUUACAAUGUUCUAUUGAAUAGUUUUUCGAGAACUAACUUGGUGAGGACAAAAGUAAGCAAUUACGCUAUGUUCUAUUUUUAGCCAAUUUGCAAUCUUUAGGAAUAUAAACAAAGUUAAUUCCAAACUUGCUCUCAAAACUGAACUUUUCCAUGAUUUGUUUUGUAUAAGAGACAAUUUUAUUCAAUUUUACUCCUAGUUAGACAUUUUUACCUUAAAUUAUUGCAGUCAUAGAAAUCUCUGUGUCUAUAAAUAUCUAUUUGUUUUAAAACUGUUUCAGUGGUUUAUAAACUGUGCAAACUCCCAAAAUUUGACAUGGUUGCUUAUUUUUCAUCUUUGUUUUAUGAUUACUUCUUUAGCAUGUCUUACCUUUUAUUAAUUUUAAUUUAUAUUGUGUAAUUUCUUUUAAGAUUAUUCCUUUAGAGAACAAAUAAAAUUUUGGUUUAGUUUAAAAUUUUUUAUGUUAUUAAUAUGCCUUUCGAUACUUUAAUAACUUGUGCAGAAAAUUAAAUUUGGAUGGACAAAAAUUUGUAAUUUUGCUUUAAAGAAUUUGGAUAUGUUUUUUGGAGAAAGAUUAAUCCAUAUUUCAUAAUCUUUUUAAAUAUUAACUUUGGUGGAUUGUGUGAAUCUUUUAGUCUGGGACAAGUAGCCCUAAGGCUUCCCCACCUGUAAGAAUUAUUCAAGAGUUCAAGAGUCCACUAGUGGCUUUCGUUUCAAAGGGUGCUCGGAAUAAUUAGGGACAAAUGCAAAGUACAAAAAUAUAUUGUUUCCCCUCAUAAAAUAUUUCUGCAGAAAGGUUCCUACAUCCUUCAUCACCAGUGUUAUGAGCAAGGCUUCAUUAUACCCAUUUUAUAUAUACACCAAUUAUGAUUAAUUUGAUUAAGGUUAUUAUACUUUGUUUUUUCUUUUCUUCUGUUAAAUGAAAAAAAUUCAUAAGCAUGGACUGAUGAAUACAUCUAAAUAUAACGGUAUUAAUUCUAGAUGGAACAUUCUUUGGUGUCAAUUAUAAAAACAAUAUGCUUAACUUAUAUAAUUAAGAGUUAAUUUGAAGUAUGAAGCUAUAAAUUUAACACUAGAAUAUUUCUUGAUGCAAUUCUAGAUUUAAAAUACAAAUUAUCGCACCCACCAAAUGAUAAGAUAUUUCAUUUUUUUAAAUAAUUAAGUAUAAGUUCUUUAAUUGAUAAUUUUAAAAAAUAAACAAUUCUUGAAUUAUUUGUUUGUUAUAUUAUGACUUGUACGAAAAUAUUAUCUUGUUGAUUCUGAAUAUUUUCAAAUGAAAGGUUAUCUUGGACCAUAUAGGGGUCAACGAUAUCAGUUACCUGACUUUCGUAGGGGUAGAACGAUAUUUGGUAAAAAAGAGAUAUUCAACUAUUCAUAUUUAUCAUUACGUACUGUGAUUGAACGAACUUUUGUGUUUUGAAAAAAAAAUAGGUCAUUUUAAGGGAUAUGCCAAGUUAUAGUUUUGAAAAGCAAAUGAUGAUCGUUAUUGCUACAAUGGCGAUACACAAUUUUAUCCGAAAAAUGUCGGUUGAAAUGAUGUAGAUUUUAUGAAAUACGAAAAUAUUAAUAGGGUAUAUGAUAAUAUUAUUGAUCUAGAAGAUGUGCAAGAUGGAGAAAGUGAUGAUGAUGAUGAUGGUGGUGGUGAAUUAACAAGAGAUGAUAUAGCUUCUAGUUUAAUGAAUUCACUUCAAAUUAUAAAUGCUAAUGUAAAAUUUUUGAUGAUGUAUUUGGCAUAUAAAUAUUACCCCUUUUUGAAACUUUAAUCCAAAUGCAUGUAAUAUUUUAAUUUGUUAGGUUUAUGUUUUCUAUGUUAUGGUAAUAUGGGUUAUAUAUUCAAAUUAUAUUCUAAAAUAAAAUAAUACAAAUGUGUUAAAAUAAUUAAUUAAAAAUAACUUUUUAAAAAAAAAUAAUAUUGUGUUAAUCUCUAAUUAAAAAUAUUUAAUGAUUAUAAUUAAAUAUUUAAAAUAUAGUUUAUAUAUUGUAAUUAAAUUUUAUAAAUAAUUAAUAUUAAUUACUUAGAAAUAUUUAAAAUUAAUAUUUCAUAUAUUAAAAUAUUAACAAUAAGUUAUAAUAAAUUACUUUUUUAUAUUCUUGCUAAUAUUAACUAAUUUAAAUUUUAUUUAAAUGUAUAUUUGUUACUUUAUAAUAUCACGUCUAAAAUGGACAUUUUAUUUCUCAAAAGCACUUUUUGGCGGCAAUAUUAAACACUUAAAUUUUAAAUUAAAAUUUUCGAAAGUAAUUCUCAAAAGUACAUUUUCACCACAUUUUUUAAAAACAUCUUUUAAAAGUAAUGUUAAACUAACCCUAAGUGUUUUAGCAACUUAUUCUUGAAUGGUUACCCGUCUUGUUGAUUUUAGGCCACCUAUUUUUCUAAUAUAACAAAUAAAUAAAUAAAUAAAUAAAAACCUAAGUACCAUUCUUAUAAUAUUUUGACUUUUCUCAUUACCAACAAUUUGACUCAUCAUUUUAUCUCUAACUUGAUCUGUUUCUAAACUCAUGUCAUGAUUAGUAAUUUCUCUUCUUGUACAUACCAAUAAACAACUCAACACACAAGAUAGACUACUUCCCUUGGAAGUCUUUCUCUCCACAAGUAUUCAAUCAUUCUAUAGUAAAAAAAUAUAUACAUAUAACAUGUAGUAAAUCUAAUAACAAAAGUAUUUACUCUUUUAGCUUGAAAUCGUUGGAGGUCUAAGAAAGUUUUAGUAAUUCAAAGAAAUACCAGCGCCUACAAUUAAAGAGAGAAAAACACCGCAUCGGUUGAGUUACCAACAAUCAAACAUUUUAUUAUAAAUAUCGAACAAAGUAAAUUUAGCUGUUAAAAGUAAUCCAAGAAUGCGUAGAAAAUUCUCUUUGGUAGUGUAAGCACUUGAAUGUGAAAGGGUUUUUAGUGUGAAAUUUUUUUGAUAGCUCAAACAUGAGUUAAAUAGGUAAAAAAAAAUCUGGUAAGUUAAUUUAUUGAAAACAAUAUUAAAUUUAAAAGAGUUCUAAAAUUCUUAAAAAAGGUAAAAAAUCUGCUAUGUUAAUUUAUUGAAAACAAAAUUAUAUCUAAAAGAGUUUUCAAAUUCUUAAAAAGAAAAUAGAUAAUGAUAAGUUUUACUAUUAAUAACAAAUCCAAAACCAAUUGAUAGGUAAAAAUGAUACAUAAUUUAGACAAAUUGAUAAAAGUACUGAAAUGUCUUCUCCGUUGUUAAGAAAUAAUUUGCACAAUUAAAGUGAUGCCUAAGAUGGUGGACACUCCUUUAAGUACUAAAUGGUUAAUAGUAAAGAAAUUGACCAUAGGAAGGUUGUUUAUGCAAUCCGAUUUUCCUAUGUUUGCGAAGCCUAUGUUAAUGAAAAAUAUGCACUCUUUUCAACAAUUAAAAAGUGAACCUACUAAAUCACACCCACUGUGAUAAUUUUCCUCACCCUUGUACUUUGAAGAUACAAUACUCUUACCACUAUAUUCACCCCUCGUGAAUAGAAUAAGUAAAACCACCACACAAAGGUUUUACUAUCAAUAUAGCACUCAUACAAAAUUAUUCUCAUAAGGACAGAUUAAGUGCUUAACUCUCUGUACAUUCACUUAGGCAAGUCUCUCAAAUAUAUAGAUUUAAAAUUUGAAACUUGAUUAAAAAUGAAGAUCUAAUACAAUCCCACUAAAACAACAAUACAUUAUAAUAAUAACAUAUAAAAAAAUUAAGGACUCUUGGUGGCUCAUCCGACAGAAUAACUAUUCAUCCAAAGUCCACAAUCCAAGGGAUUGUCUUGAGAAAUUUUGGUACAAUCCAAUAACCAAAAUAACAUUUUCAAGUAAUAUGAUCUUCCACAAUGGACAAGAUAUCAUCCAUAUAAUCAGCAUAACUCAGAUAAAAGGUUCAAUAAAUUGCCUACACCUUAAUAUGGAACUUGCCUCCAUACAGAUUUUGUGGGCAAGAGAGUGGACACUUCUUCUGACACGAAAUUGUCACGUUCAUAUCUUUCAACAAUUACAAUGAAAAUCUUAAGAUUCCUUUUUAAAUUUUAACAAAAAGUUGUUAAAAUAUUUUUAACUAUGUAAUUAUAAUUGAUAGCACAUUUAAAAUUUAUAGAGUUGUAAAAAUCUUAAACAAUUUAUAAAAUAUAAAGUUAACUUUUUUUGGUGAAAAAGAAAAAGGGACACAAAUAUAAGAAAUUAAAUUAUCCCUCCCAUGGGGGAUCCUUAAACAAUUUUAAUCAUAUUCUCAUGUCUUGAACCAUCUUGACAAGGUCAUCUGCUACUUCAUUUUCUUCUCUAGGAAUAUGUUAUAAUCUCCAUAUCCCUAUGGAUGCUAAGAGUUGGUGAAUUAUCCUGACCAAAGAAGAACUGGUAUCUCCAAAUGAUCUACCUUGAAUGGCGUUAACAGCUUCAAGUUUGUCAGUUUGAAUUAGAACACUCUCAAAACCCCGAUCUAGUAUAAGUGUUGUCCAUCCAAUAUGCCUUAUAGUUCAGCAUCUAGCAUAGUACAACUACCUAAAUAUCCAUUAAAGCCAAAGAUCUACCCUCCGUUUCGAUCGCACACUAACCCCCUAGCUGCAGCAAACCCAACACCGAACAUAACAAAAGGAUCCGUACUUAAUCGCACCCAAUUACUUGUCAAGGGUGAACUAACGGUUCUUCUUUAUGUUUUAGAUGUUGACACCUUAAAGAUAGAAGCGUACUACUUUGCCUAACUGUAAGACUCUUUGGCGAUUGCACCAACACUUCAUAAGAUGCCCUGAAAAGUGAAAAGAUUACGGUUCUUCGAGAUGCGCCAAGUAAGAAUCCUAAAGAGGCAGUGCCAAUCCAUCCCUCCCAAACGGAAAGUCUGCUGAUUAUGCAGAUUCUCCAACAUCCACUCCCGAAGAGAUCCGGAGAAAAAACUAGAGAGUCUUUUUGUUGGAAUUAGAUUAUUCCAAAUGUCCCUACCCGUAAGACAAUCCAUAAGGACAGGUCACACAUCCUCGAAAUCAUGCUCGCAGGCUUCAAAAGCAUUAUCAUUUCCUAUACAUCGCCUCACCCUUUUCACUUUAGUGAGAAAACACUGUUUAAGAACAAGCCAUAUGAAAAAUCUAACCCUUUAAGGCCAUUGAAACUUCUAAGGAAGUUAUCAAACCGUCUCUUUAGAAUUCCAUGAUCCCUCUCAAAGUUUCCUAUAGGCACUUUUAAGGGAGAAGGAACCGGUCAAAGUACCCCCAAAUGAUUCUAAUUCUAUCAGGUCCAGAAGUUGGAUGGGGAAACAGAACCCCCACAAUCCUAUUAAUGGUCCCCUCAGGUACCCAUAGCUGAAAGAGAUCCAAAUUCCAAAAAUCAUCCUCUAUAACCAUAUCACUAAGUGAAAAAUCCAUAUCAAGGUUAGAAAUGGAAGAAAUCUGUCUAAAUAAGGGCUCAACAUUCGAAAUCCAAUUGUCUCACCAACAAUUGAUGCUUCUUCCAUCCGUAAUAGACCAAAGUAAUUUCUCACAAAUUAGAGGCCAAACCUUAGAGGUGGUCCUCCAUAAGGAAGAGCAUUUCCCUUUCGAUAAUGUCUUAGGCAAACCACUUUGAACCUAUACUUUUUUGCACCAUUGUAGGAUCUUAGAUAAAUUUUUUGACCAUAUGCUCAAUUUCAUCACACAAGCCUUUAGGAAUCAUCAUUGACUACAUAAAAUAACUCAAAAUCGAAAGCAAGACUGAUUGUGCCAAAGUGGACCUACCAGCUAGAGAAAGUUGUCUAGUGUCCCAACUAAAAAGUUUACUACUCACCUUAUCGGUAGCAAAUCUCAGAGUGUUGUAGUGACAUUAUCAUGAAAGAGGGUAACUCCUAGAUAGGAACCAAGAUUCUACACUUUCUAGAACCGAAGAUUUAAACGCCCCCUAUGUCCUCUUUCACACUUUUCGAAAAAAGAUGUUAGUUUUUUGCAUAUUAAUCUGGUGACCCAAAAACUCAUAGAAAUUCUCUAGUACUCCUUUAAUUACCCUAACUUGAUGCUCCUUUGCUUGACCAAAGAGAAUCAAAUCAUUUGCAAAGAAAAGAUGAGACAGGGGUGGACCUGUUCAAGAUAACAAAACUCCUUGAUGGAUACCCCCUGUCAGCCGAAACUUCUAAGUUGGAACCUCAUUCCAUAUAAUCUACAUAGAAGAACUUGAUAUAGCUAACAUAAUGACAUUAUAGAGUAGGUUAAGAAUUCCUGCUGCCUGGAGAGAGGCAUCGAUGAACACCCAAUGCACUCAAUCAUUUGCUUUUUCUAGAUCAAUUUCGAUGGUCAUCCAUUUCCUAUUCUUCUACUUAACCUCUGGUGUGAUGAUAAUGUUAUUGGUGAUAGUCAUACCCGCAAUAAAGUCGGCCUAUUUAGGAGAAAUAAUAUUUCAGAAGACAACUUUGAAUCGAUUGGCAAUGACCUUCAUAACUAGUUUGUAAAGGAUCUAGUGUAAGCUUAUUGGACGAAAGUGUGAAAAGACCCUAUUAACCUAAUUACAUAUAGAGGCACCGACAUGCUCCCAUUGAGCAUGAUAGAAUAGUGCAUGGAAACCAUCAUUACCUGAAGCCUUCAGAGGUGCCAAAUCAAAUAGAGUUGCCUUAAUUUCAUCGUUUAACGCCGAUUUACCUAGGAAUUAGACCUCUCUAUCCUCAAGAUGAGGGAAAGCGCAAGCAAGUAAAUUUGUCAUCGGUAUUGGAUGCUCUCCAUAUAACUUCUCAAAAAAUUUAACUGUCUCGUUUUUCAGUUCUUCCUCAUAAAAAAUCCAAUCUCCUAGAUCAUUUUCCAGAGUGGUAAUAUGAUCCUGUUUCCUCCUCUAGCACGUAUGUCUAUAGAAAAAUUUGGUGUUACAAUCACCCAAAUAUAACAAGUCACACCUUGCCUUCUGACACUAUAAAAGCUCAUUAAGAAGAAGAACAUUUUCCAACUCCUCUCUUGCCUCUACUUCAACCUGGUUUUGUCACACUCCAAAGUUGGGCCUAGAAGUUUCUAGGGUAAUUUAGGGAUUUGCUCUCAAAAUGUGUUUAGAAAUUCGAAGCAUGGUAAACAAUAAAUGCCUUCGUCUAUGGCUUUUAGGAAGUUAAUUCAAUUUUUGAAAAAGAAGUAGAAAAGACCUUUAACUUUAAAAUAUGGUAUAAGGGGGGGUUAAAAUUAGGAGUACCUCAAGGGUAAAUAUACUAAAGUUUAAAAUUGUCCUAUUCCUUCCCUCCACCUACAGUAAACUCACAAAACUAUUCCCCUCACCUUUUGUUGCUAUCCUUUGAUUUUCCAAACUUCAAUCCUUAUAAUUUCCAUCAUCUUUCAAGCAUUAAACCUCCCUAGAAUUUCAAGAAAAACAUAAAAAAAACAUCAUUGAUUUAGCUAUUGUUCAAAUUGUAGGUUUUCUCAAAUUGGCUAUCAAACGUUCAUUUUUCUCUCAAUGAAGCUAAUGUUUCAUUUUCCUAUUAGUUUUUGAUGAAAUCUAGCCUUUUAAAUUGAGUUUUUAUUCAUUGAAUCAAAAGUUAUGAAUAUAUGUCGAAUUUUGGGUCGUUAAUGGUGGAAUUUGGGAAUUUGAAUGAAAACAAUGUUUCAAAGUGUUUUUCAACUUGUUUUGAUGUGCUUAUAAGGUUUCUAAACUUUUUUUAAAGUUUUGAUAAAGAAUCCUAAGGUUUUAUUAAGUUUUCAUGAAAAUGACCAUUCUAAGGUUUUGAAACCAUGGAUCUGUGUAGUUUUGUGUACUUUGAAGAUUGAGAAUAAUUUUUAGGUAAUUAAUUAGAGGUUUGGUAUCAGUUCUAGGUAAUGAGAUUGAGUUAAAAUUAAGAUAUUUUGGUUUUGGAUUUGCAAGUCGAAAAUUUCAGUUCUAAGAGGAAGGAACCUUAGACCUGGGUUUUUGAUUGUUUGGGUGUGCCUAUAGCUGUAAUUACUUAUGUUUGUUGUGUGGUUAGUUUUGGUGAAGAUUCGAAAUCGUUGGAGCCUUCAACGAGUAAUGAAAGUUUGUUUAAUGGUGAGUGUUUAGAACCACUAUUAGUAGACAUGAUUCAUUGGGUUAAUUGGGAGCUUAAGAGUAGCCUAAAUCCCUACUCUAAGUUCCGAGUGUAAGCUUUCUUAUACCUGUCAUUUAAUUCACAAAAUGUGUUAUUGUCUGAUGUGAAUUGAGUAUUAAGUUGUGAUAAUGUGACAUAUGAUAUAUACUUGUGAUGGCUAUUGUGAAUGUAUUAAUUUUGGGUAUGUUAUACAUACCAUGACAGUGAUGAUGUUGUGCUUAUUAUGUGAAUAUGCAAUGAAAGUGUGCAGAAAAUGGUAAGUAAAAAUAUCUGUAUAAUUGCAGAGAUUUUGGCAUCGUGAUCAUUGAGACCAUUGGAUAUAGUUGACAUGCCGUAGGAUUUUUGAGUACUUACCCUUUUGUUAUGUUUUUGGGGCAUUAAGGCCUGGGAAAAUUUUGGAAAGAUAAGGGAAUGUGAGCUCAGCUUCAUUCACCAUGAUAUGUUGGUGUGUUGGAGAGUGUUAACUAAAUGCCAUGCUUUUGGGAUAUGUUCGACUCAUCGAGUCAUUGGUGUGUUGGAGAUCCGUGUAUUCAAUGUGUGGUGAUAAAGCCCACUUUUAUGUUUCAUAGCUUAAGUGUCAAAUUAUCGUUGAAUGUAAUAUUAUGAUAUGUGAUGUAUGCAUAUUUAUUAUGUAAAUGCAAAGUUAGAAGAGUUGGUAAUUGAUUCAUGAGUAUUAUAAUAUGUUACUAUAGUUCUACAUGUAUGUGAAUUUGAUUUGGAUGUUUCAUUUAACACAUGAUAUCAUGUUUAUUUGGUGGUCUUUUCGAUCAUUCAUUGAACUUGUUUAAGCUUACCCGCUCUUUUUAAAUCUUGCAGACAGUUAGGGUUGCAGUGUAAGCGUUGCGAGAUUCCAAGGGAGUGAUCCAAGUUAGGCUUUAGAUUUUAAGAUGGUGUAAGUCGUAUUAUUCUUUGAACUAUAGGAAUAAAGCAAUGUGGUAGACUUUUUGGUUGAUCGUUAUUAUGUCUUAAAUAGUUAAUAUGAUCUAGACUUUUAAGAAUUGACAUUAUGUUAUUGGUUUGUCUUAGCUUGGAAAUAUUGAUGAUGCUUUGAGUUGCAAUUUUGGAUACUUUUGAUGUUGAAUUGUGAAGUUAUAGAUGCAUGAUGAAUUGGUAUAUGUUUAGUUGUGUUAAAUGCCCUGUUUUGUUAUAAUUUUUGCUAUUUUGUACAGAGGUAUUGAUAAUAUGGG